rnacentral:miRNA from 1 species
CUGGGCUGGGCUGGGCUGGGCUGGGCUGGGCUGGGGCUGCAGCCCUCCUCCUCCGCCCCCGCGCUCUUCCUGCUCU